rnacentral:rRNA from 1 species
GACGAACGCUGGCGGCGUGCUUAACACGUGCAAGUCGAGCGGUAAGGCCUUUCGGGGUACACGAGCGGCGAACGGGUGAGUAACACGUGGGUGAUCUGCCCUGCACUUCGGGAUAAGCCUGGGAAACUGGGUCUAAUACCGGAUAUGACCUCCUAUCGCAUGGUGGGUGGUGGAAAGAUUUAUCGGUGCAGGAUGGGCCCGCGGCCUAUCAGCUUGUUGGUGGGGUAAUGGCCUACCAAGGCGACGACGGGUAGCCGACCUGAGAGGGUGACCGGCCACACUGGGACUGAGACACGGCCCAGACUCCUACGGGAGGCAGCAGUGGGGAAUAUUGCACAAUGGGCGAAAGCCUGAUGCAGCGACGCCGCGUGAGGGAUGACGGCCUUCGGGUUGUAAACCUCUUUCAGCAGGGACGAAGCGCAAGUGACGGUACCUGCAGAAGAAGCACCGGCUAACUACGUG